rnacentral:rRNA from 1 species
AUGGCAACAACAUCCAUUGUUGAGAGCACUACAUCACCUCCACCAUGUGACAUGUCGCCACCUAGAGUGCCUACAUCAUCUUUGUUGAUCAUAAGAGGUAAUGACAAAGGUACCGAUCUUCCACCUCCACAUGAGUAUGAUGAAUGCCUUGUCAAUUUAAAUGAACCAUGCAAUGAGCUACCCACUACUUUGAUCACACCAGCUAUUUUAGAGGAAUAUGUUCAUGAUUUGACUUUGCCAUGUGAUCAAACAAUUUUGCGUGAACCCAUUGAAUUAACAAUUGAUGCAAAAGAACCAUGUGAAUCAGUGAAAAGAUCAGAUUUGGAUCAAAUACGUUUGAAAAUAGUUGUGCCAAUGUUUAAUCAUUUUGAUAUGACCUCUAAUCUUGGUGGUGGUUCAUCAAGGUUGGGAUGGUUUAAUGAUGAGCAUUGCCAAUCUUUUAUUAUGAAUAAGAGCUUCACUUAUAUGUGCAAACUGAGUUGCAAUAUUUUCAUGCCUUUGACUUCUUGUGAUAAUAUAUUGGCUUUAUUUUUCACGACUUUUGAAGGGUGCUCUUGUAUAACUGUGUCACAUGUGCCACAACUGAGAUCAGUUAAAAUGGAUGACAUAUACAUAUACAACGUGUACACCUUGUCUCUAUUGUUAGCCAUAUUUCAGAUUAAGCAACGCCGAGGACAGCUUUUUUUUCAAGAAGGGGAGGAUGAUGAGGACAUGGCUACCACAGUUACACCCAUAUCCCCAGUUGUUUUACCUCUUGGAACAGUUGCUAGAGCUCAGAUACGCCAAUUAAAUUAUCAGGUACUUUCGUUUCUUGGUAAUGUUUCUAGUGUUCAUGAGAAUAUGAUGCUGCCUAACUUAGAUACAUUUGUGUUGCUUGCAAUUGAAGGGCCUAACACGGACAAUGAGGAUGAACAUUGGAGCAUGAUCAAGCACGGAGAUGAAGGUGCGUGCAAAGAGAACAAGAACGGAGGUUCAAGUGGAGAUUUCUGGACUUUGAAGCCACCAUGA